AACAGCUCCUUUGAAAUUACUCCUAUUUAAGAAGAAAAAUCAUAUUACUUUCUUAAUCUUUCUAAUUCUAUUCUCAUAAGAUGAUCUUGGAUUUGUUCCUUUAGCACAGACUCUUUAGUGCAGUCCUGAUUUCUGUAUUAAUGAAUUGAGAAGAUGACAUCAGGCUCUUAGUUCUACUGGUGGAUGUAUGACAUGUAGAGCUGUCCACAGAGGUAUUCCUGUUGAGGAAGAAGAUGGAGGGGGGCUGGAGCCUGGGAAGGCAAACUAUGACAACAACAGCCACCAAGCGAAGGAAAGAGAAAUAGUGAUGGUAAGGAAUGAAAGAGCAAAGAGGGUGUUCUUCUAAAGGGUGCCACUCAUUAAAGGAAAAGAAAACCCCUCCAAACUUCUUUAAUUAUAUUUGUAAGGGCAAAAGUAACACAUAGCACAAAUGCUUCUGUCAUGAGAACAUUUUCAGUUCAAGACAAAAUAAGAGCAGUUCCUCAGCACUAGUACUGGUGCUAACUACAAGUGCAAUAGCAAAAGCUACAGUAGGUGGAACAUUUAUGUCUGGGUUCUUUUACCUUUCGUGAGCAGGCUUUCUUUUACUUCUACUUAUAGCAGUGUACAUUGAUUGUUCUUUGACGAACAUGUUAUAGUAAUAGCCCACUGAAACUUGUAUUAUUGCUGUCCUCUUGUUUUUGAAGGGAAA
rnacentral:lncRNA from 1 species